AGUGAACGCUGGCGGUAGGCCUAACACAUGCAAGUCGAACGGCAGCACAGUAAGAGCUUGCUCUUACGGGUGGCGAGUGGCGGACGGGUGAGGAAUACAUCGGAAUCUACUUUUUCGUGGGGGAUAACGUAGGGAAACUUACGCUAAUACCGCAUACGACCUACGGGUGAAAGCAGGGGAUCUUCGGACCUUGCGCGAUUGAAUGAGCCGAUGUCGGAUUAGCUAGUUGGCGGGGUAAAGGCCCACCAAGGCGACGAUCCGUAGCUGGUCUGAGAGGAUGAUCAGCCACACUGGGACUGAGACACGGACCAGACUCCUACGGGAGGCAGCAGUGGGGAAUAUUGGACAAUGGGCGCAAGCCUGAUCCAGCCAUACCGCGUGGGUGAAGAAGGCCUUCGGGUUGUAAAGCCCUUUUGUUGGGAAAGAAAAGCAGCAGGUUAAUACCCCGCUGUUCUGACGGUACCCAAAGAAUAAGCACCGGCUAACUUCGUG
rnacentral:rRNA from 1 species